rnacentral:rRNA from 1 species
UACGUAGGGGGCAAGCGUUGUCCGGAAUCAUUGGGCGUAAAGAGCGUGUAGGCGGUUCGGUAAGUCGGCUGUGAAAGUCCAGGGCUCAACCCUGGGAUGCCGGUCGAUACUGCCGGACUAGAGUUCGGAAGAGGCGAGUGGAAUUCCUGGUGUAGCGGUGGAAUGCGCAGAUAUCAGGAAGAACACCCGUGGCGAAGGCGGCUCUCUGGGACGGUACUGACGCUGAGACGCGAAAGCGUGGGGAGCGAACAGG